GUUUGAGUCAUGAUUCCUGAUUCAAAGAUUGUGUUAGGAGGUUGAGCUUUAAAAAAAACCUAAAUAGCAAUUUUCGGAACCUAUUUGGAUUCGAUGUUAAAUCUCGGUCUAUUAUGUUUCGGCAUUAACUUUGUAAAUUUGUGUAUGAGUCAUCCGGUUGCAAUGUAUAUUAGUGUGUCGUAUUAUAAUGUAAUUUUCUCCUUUUGGUUUGGGAGUCAUUUCUAUACA
rnacentral:lncRNA from 1 species